GGUACCUAAGAUAGGUUCUUUGGGUUGCCCUCAUUUUAUUUGUGAUGAAUCAUACACGGUGUGCUUUUUUUUCAGUACC
rnacentral:pre_miRNA from 1 species